rnacentral:rRNA from 1 species
UUAAGCGACUAAGCGUACACGGUGGAUGCCCUGGCAGUCAGAGGCGAUGAAGGACGUGCUAAUCUGCGAUAAGCGUCGGUAAGGUGAUAUGAACCGUUAUAACCGGCGAUUUCCGAAUGGGGAAACCCAGUGUGAUUCGUCACACUAUCAUUAACUGAAUCCAUAGGUUAAUGAGGCGAACCGGGGGGAACUGAAACAUCUAAGUACCCCGAGGAAAAGAAAUCAACCGAGAUUCCCCCAGUAGCGGCGAGCGAACGGGGAGCAGCCCAGAGCCUGAAUCAGUGUGUGUGUUAGUGGAAGCGUCUGGAAAGGCGCGCGAUACAGGGUGACAGCCCCGUACACAAAAAUGCACAUGCUGUGAGCUCGAUGAGUAGGGCGGGACACGUGGUAUCCUGUCUGAAUAUGGGGGGACCAUCCUCCAAGGCUAAAUACUCCUGACUGACCGAUAGUGAACCAGUACCGUGAGGGAAAGGCGAAAAGAACCCCGGCGAGGGGAGUGAAAAAGAACCUGAAACCGUGUACGUACAAGCAGUGGGAGCACGCUUAGGCGUGUGACUGCGUACCUUUUGUAUAAUGGGUCAGCGACUUAUAUUCUGUAGCAAGGUUAACCGAAUAGGGGAGCCGAAGGGAAACCGAGUCUUAACUGGGCGUUAAGUUGCAGGGUAUAGACCCGAAACCCGGUGAUCUAGCCAUGGGCAGGUUGAAGGUUGGGUAACACUAACUGGAGGACCGAACCGACUAAUGUUGAAAAAUUAGCGGAUGACUUGUGGCUGGGGGUGAAAGGCCAAUCAAACCGGGAGAUAGCUGGUUCUCCCCGAAAGCUAUUUAGGUAGCGCCUCGUGAAUUCAUCUCCGGGGGUAGAGCACUGUUUCGGCAAGGGGGUCAUCCCGACUUACCAACCCGAUGCAAACUGCGAAUACCGGAGAAUGUUAUCACGGGGAGACACACGGCGGGUGCUAACGUCCGUCGUGAAGAGGGAAACAACCCAGACCGCCAGCUAAGGUCCCAAAGUCAUGGUUAAGUGGGAAACGAUGUGGGAAGGCCCAGACAGCCAGGAUGUUGGCUUAGAAGCAGCCAUCAUUUAAAGAAAGCGUAAUAGCUCACUGGUCGAGUCGGCCUGCGCGGAAGAUGUAACGGGGCUAAACCAUGCACCGAAGCUGCGGCAGCGACGCUCAUGCGUUGUUGGGUAGGGGGAGCGUUCUGUAAGCCUGUGAAGGUGUACUGUGAGGUAUGCUGGAGGUAUCAGAAGUGCGAAUGCUGACAUAAGUAACGAUAAAGCGGGUGAAAAGCCCGCUCGCCGGAAGACCAAGGGUUCCUGUCCAACGUUAAUCGGGGCAGGGUGAGUCGACCCCUAAGGCGAGGCCGAAAGGCGUAGUCGAUGGGAAACAGGUUAAUAUUCCUGUACUUGGUGUUACUGCGAAGGGGGGACGGAGAAGGCUAUGUUGGCCGGGCGACGGUUGUCCCGGUUUAAGCGUGUAGGCUGGUUUUCCAGGCAAAAUCCGGAAAAUCAAGGCUGAGGCGUGAUGACGAGGCACUACGGUGCUGAAGCAACAAAUGCCCUGCUUCCAGGAAAAGCCUCUAAGCAUCAGGUAACAUCAAAUCGUACCCCAAACCGACACAGGUGGUCAGGUAGAGAAUACCAAGGCGCUUGAGAGAACUCGGGUGAAGGAACUAGGCAAAAUGGUGCCGUAACUUCGGGGAGAAGGCACGCUGAUAUGUAGGUGAAGUCCCUCGCGGAUGGAGCUGAAAUCAGUCGAAGAUACCAGCUGGCUGCAACUGUUUAUUAAAAACACAGCACUGUGCAAACACGAAAGUGGACGUAUACGGUGUGACGCCUGCCCGGUGCCGGAAGGUUAAUUGAUGGGGUUAGCGCAAGCGAAGCUCUUGAUCGAAGCCCCGGUAAACGGCGGCCGUAACUAUAACGGUCCUAAGGUAGCGAAAUUCCUUGUCGGGUAAGUUCCGACCUGCACGAAUGGCGUAAUGAUGGCCAGGCUGUCUCCACCCGAGACUCAGUGAAAUUGAACUCGCUGUGAAGAUGCAGUGUACCCGCGGCAAGACGGAAAGACCCCGUGAACCUUUACUAUAGCUUGACACUGAACAUUGAGCCUUGAUGUGUAGGAUAGGUGGGAGGCUUAGAAGUGUGGACGCCAGUCUGCAUGGAGCCGACCUUGAAAAUACCACCCUUUAAUGUUUGAUGUUUCUAACGUUGACCCGUAAUCCGGGUUGCGGACAGUGUCUGGUGGGUAGUUUGACUGGGGCGGUCUCCUCCUAAAGAGUAACGGAGGAGCACGAAGGGUUGGCUAAUCCUGGUCGGACAUCAGGAGGUUAGUUGCAAUGGCAUAAGCCAGCUUGACUGCGAGCGUGACGGCGCGAGCAGGUGCGAAAGCAGGUCAUAGUGAUCCGGUGGUUCUGAAUGGAAGGGCCAUCGCUCAACGGAUAAAAGGUACUCCGGGGAUAACAGGCUGAUACCGCCCAAGAGUUCAUAUCGACGGCGGUGUUUGGCACCUCGAUGUCGGCUCAUCACAAUCCUGGGGCUGAAGUAGGUCCCAAGGGUAUGGCUGUUCGCCAUUUAAAGUGGUACGCGAGCUGGGUUUAGAACGUCGUGAGACAGUUCGGUCCCUAUCUGCCGUGGGCGCUGGAGAACUGAGGGGGGCUGCUCCUAGUACGAGAGGACCGGACGUGGACGCAUCACUGGUGUUCGGGUUGUCAUGCCAAUGGCACUGCCCGGUAGCUAAAUGCGGAAGAGAUAAGUGCUGAAAGCAUCUAAGCACGAAACUUGCCCCGAGAUGAGUUCUCCCUGACUCCUUGAGAGUCCUGAAGGAACGUUGAAGGACGACGACGUUGAUAGGCCGGGUGUGUAAGCGCAGCGAUGCGUUGAGCUAAACCGGUACUAAUGAACCGUGAGGCUUAACCUU